ACGGUCUUGCGUCACUUCCGGCUUCCCCUCCACCUUUUCCUAGGCUUCGCCUCUAGAGACGUCGGAGGGUGGUAAGGACCGGUUUUUGUGAAAUUCCGUACGGCCUCACAUCCAAAUUAUCUAGGCCCUUUUUCUCCAAUGGCCUAGCAUCCGUCGCGCUUUCCAUGGCUCAGCGAAGCAGGUGGAGGUUCCAGGACUGCAGUUUGCGUUUUGUUCUUAAACACAUUUGGGAAAUUACCCUGACCCUGUCUUAUCUCUCUUGAAGUACAAGACAAAAAGCACCAGUUAUGCCUGAAGAUUCACAGCUAAUGAAGAAACUGCUCACAUUUGGCCAAGAUCACAUAAUAGGAAGUGGGGAAUUGGAACUCACUCUGACUGACUCCAAAUUAAUAGAGAGUUUGUAGCCACUUACAUAAUAAUGGUAAAGGUUUCAUUUGUUGCUAUAUGGGUAAAUUCAUUGAGGGUCAGCACAUCCUCAAAGGAUGCACAAAUGGCAGGAAGGAUUAGAAAAGAAAACCAAAACAGCAGAGAAGCAGAAAAAAGAAAAUCUCCCAAAAUAAACGUAAAGGAAUUAAAAAUAAGAUAUUCAUGAAAUAGAAAAUAAAAUUGAUGAUAAUGCCUUCUGUUUGAAAAGGACAAUAAAUAGACAACAAAUCUAAAGAAAACGAUAUUUGGAAAAAAGGGAACAUAUUUCAGGUAAGAGGGACUUCGAAAAUUGGAAGUGAAUCUAGAAUAGUCUUAUAUGGAUAAUCUUGAAAAUUGACCUGGACAAUUUUCUAGGAAAAUACACAUCCCGAAAAAUUGGCUGUACAGUUAGAAAACCAUAAUGAACUGAUAAUCAUGAAAGAAUGCCCUAUAUAUCCCUGACGAAGGUCACCAGGAACAAAGCAUAGAGAAGAAUGGGAGUGUGUCCCAACUAUGAAAGGAACAUAACCAUAGCAGAAUCUAAAAGAUAGUAAAAUAAAAUAUAGCUCAGUCUCACUUAAAAAUACAUGCAAAAAAAAAGAAAAACCUAACCUAGCAGUGCAUUUAGAGAAUAAUGUCAUAACCAAGUUGGGUUAAUCGUACCUGUACAAGGAUGGUCAACAUUAGACAGGUAAUGAAAAUCUUCUACAUUAGUAGAUAAAGGGGAAAACUAUAUAACUUUAAUUGAUACUGAAAAAACACUUGAGAAAUUAACAUCUAUUACUGAUUU